rnacentral:rRNA from 1 species
GAUGAACGCUGGCGGCGUGCCUAAUACAUGCAAGUCGAACGCACAGCGAAAGGUGCUUGCACCUUUCAAGUGAGUGGCGAACGGGUGAGUAACACGUGGACAACCUGCCUCAAGGCUGGGGAUAACAUUUGGAAACAGAUGCUAAUACCGAAUGAAACUUAGUGUCGCAUGAUACGAAGUUAAAAGGCGCUUUGGCGACACCUAGAGAUGGAUCCGCGGUUCGUUAGUUCGUUGGUGGGGUAAAGGCCUACGAAGACAAUGAUGCAUAGCCGAGUUGAGAGACUGAUCGGCCGCAUUGGGACUGAGACACGGCCCAAACUCCUACGGGAGGCUGCAGUAGAGAAUCUUCCACAAUGGGCGAAAGCCUGAUGGAGCAACGCCGCGUGUGUGAUGAAGGCUUUCGGGUCGUAAAGCACUGUUGUAUGGGAAGAACAGCUAGAAUAGGGAAUGAUUUUAGUUUGACGGUACCAUACCAGAAAGGGACGGCUAAAUACGUGCCAGCCGCCGCCGUAA